rnacentral:rRNA from 1 species
GCAAGGGGAGCGGCAGACGGGAGAGUAACACGUGGGAACGUACCCUUUGGUUCGGAACAACCCAGGGAAACUUGGGCUAAUACCGAAUAAGCCCUUACGGGGAAAGAUUUAUCGCCGAAGGAUCGGCCCGCGUCUGAUUAGCUAGUUGGUGAGGUAACGGCUCACCAAGGCGACGAUCAGUAGCUGGUCUGAGAGGAUGAUCAGCCUCACUGGGACUGAGACACGGCCCAGACUCCUACGGGAGGCAGCAGUGGGGAAUAUUGGACAAUGGGCGCAAGCCUGAUCCAGCCAUGCCGCGUGGGUGAUGAAGGCCCUAGGG